rnacentral:lncRNA from 1 species
ACUUUUGAAUUCUGUUUUAUAUCAAGCUAUAAAAACCUGGAUCCUGUUCAACAUACAUACAAAAGCAGUACUCUAAAAAAUAAUUAUUAUUAUAUUAACAAUAUCAAACACGCUAACUCCUACACACGUACAAAGACCUUGGGCAUCCUUUAUACCGGCCACUUCCUGGCCACAGCUUUGUAAGGCAGUACCUGGGAAAAGGGGACGGACCCAAGAGAGCCGGCCCCAAAUCCUGACUCAGCACUGCAGAGGCAUCAGCCGGGCUGAGUCAUGCCUGAGUCCGAAGGGCCCCCUCUCAGGCUGAGAAGGAACUUUCAGGCCCAGGGAGGAGCAGAGCCUUAGGGGGAGCACAUGCCGAGCAGGAAAACGAGCUCACAUUUUCCUGGGGUAGAGCGAGGUGCCCGGCAGGGCAGGGGAUGAACGGAGGGUGCGGUGGGCAGAAUAACGGCCUCCCAAAGAUGUCCACGUGACAGUCCCCAGAGCCUGUGACUAUGUUAGGUUACACAGCCAGUGGGAACUAAAGUUGCAGAUGGAACUAAGGUGGCUAAUCAGCUGACCUGAAAAUAGAAAGACGACCUGGGUUCUCUGGGUAGGCGCAAUGUGAUCAUAAGCGUCCUUAAAAGCGGUAGAGCAGGCCGGGUACAGUGACUCAUGCCUAUAAUCCCAGCACUUUAGGAGGCUAAGGCUACAAGAUCCCUUGAGCCCAGGAGUUCCAGACAAGCCUAGGCAACAGAAUGAGACCCUGUAUCCACAAAAAAUAUGUAGCUGGGCGUGGGGGAUUGUCUCAGGGGACUGAGACAAGAGGAUCACUUGAACCAGGAGGUCCAGGCUGCAGUGAGCCUUGAUGCCAUGACCAGGCCACUGCACUCCAGCCUGGGCAACACAGCAAGACCCUGUCUCAAAAAAAAAAAAAAAAAAGUGGUGGAGGGAGGCAGGAGAGGGGAGGCCUCAAUGAGGUGACGGGAAAAAGAUUCAACUACCCACAGCUGGCUCUGAAGAUGGAGGAGCCUGAAGUCAAGAAUUACGGUCAGCCUCUAAAAAUGAAAAGGCCAGAAAUGAAUUCUCCCCUAGAGCCUCCAGAAGGAGUGCAGGACUGCCGACACCCAGAUUUGAGCCCCGGGUCAGCCUUCUGACCCGCAGAACUGGAAGACCUCGUUUUGAUCCACGAAGUUUGUGGAAACCUGUCACGGCAAUAGGAAACAAAUACAGAGGCCAAAGGGUCAACAGUGAGAGGUCAAGCUUGCCCUGCCCCUGCCCAGACCUCAGCCAGACUUCUGGGUGGCAGGGCCCACGGUGGCACCCCCAGGGCCUGUCCCUGCCUUGGGGAAGGGGGAGCCUGAGAGGACCCAGGAGGUCUUGGGCCCUUCGGUAGUAGACACCAAGCCCUCGGGGGACCACCCUCUAGUUGAGGCCUUGGGGGAUGAAGAGGGAGGGCUCAGGGCCCCAUUGCAGGGCCAGCCUGUAGGGGCCGUGGGGCCACCUGGAUGUGACGUCUAAUGCUGGCGGUGCUCACAGCUCGCCACAGGACCCUAAAAGCCCCUGCCAGACGAGAGCUCAUCUUUUCCUUCUUUCUCUUCCAGUUCUGUCUUCCAUUCCACCAUUGCUGAAUCCCGCUCACGGCGGCCCUGGGCUGCAGAGGGCAGAUGGGUGAGGCUCGGCCCCUGUCUCCAGAGAGCUGAAGAGGGCCCUCGGCCCCACCCACGAGGAGGACAGUCAUGAGGCCGACUGUGGAGGGGCUCUGGACAGAGGUGUCCGGGGAUCCCUGAGCCUGGCUGCACUCUCCCUCCUGGUUCUUUCCUUGCGUGCACACGAUCAGCUAUCGUUUACAAAGAGUCCUUGGUGUUGCCUGGUUGGCUGCCCAGGAUGGGAGCUCCUGCCCCCAUCGGACAUGUAAACAAACCAAGGUCUGUCCAGUUCCAGCUGACAGGGCCUGCACCUCCGCCAGGGCUAGGCAGAAGUAGCAUCAGAGCACAGGAGACCCGGGAGGAACCGAGAACCAGCGCUGCUCUUAACAGCUCCCAGCGGGGUGUGCCCAAGGCUUGCUGGGCACUCACAGGCAGGUCAGGCCACAGGAAAAGCUAACCAACCUUUAUAAGGGAAAAUAGGGGCCGGGAGGGCUCCUGCGCCCCCAUGCUGACGUCCAAGAUGCUCCGGAUGCGCUUGACCUCACUGUUGGAUAGGUUCCCCUUGAUGGCCAGGAUAGCGCUCAGGUGGCCUUUGCUGGCAAAGAGAGCAUCCUGUCAGCCCAGCCUGUCACCCACACCCCUACUCACCAGCUCCCUGCACUCCCGGCCAGUGCCACAGGGCCCGACAGCCAACGCCCGGCCCACGAGGGGGCUGCACUUCACUCUCCCUCACCCAUGCCCUCCACCUGAUGGUCCCAAGAGCAG